UACGAACCGUGCGAACGUUGUUCGGAAUCACUGGGCUUAAAGGGCGCGUAGGCGGGCCUCCAAGUCCGGGGUGAAAUCUUUCGGCUUAACCGGAAAAGUGCCUUGGAUACUGGGGGCCUUGAGGGAGGCAGGGGCGGAUGGAACUUCCGGUGGAGCGGUGAAAUGCGUUGAUAUCGGAAGGAACGCCGGUGGCGAAAGCGAUCCGCUGGACCUCUUCUGACGCUGAGGCGCGAAAGCCAGGGGAGCAAACGGG
rnacentral:rRNA from 1 species